rnacentral:rRNA from 1 species
UACGUAGGGGGCAAGCGUUGUCCGGAAUCAUUGGGCGUAAAGCGCGAGUAGGCGGUUCGAUAAGUCUGCUGUGAAAGUCCAGGGCUCAACCCUGGAAAGCCGGUGGAUACUGUCGGACUAGAGUGCGGAAGAGGCGAGUGGAAUUCCCGGUGUAGCGGUGAAAUGCGCAGAUAUCGGGAGGAACACCAAUUGCGAAGGCAGCUCGCUGGGACGUUACUGACGCUGAGACGCGAAAGCGUGGGGAGCGAACAGG